rnacentral:rRNA from 1 species
CAAUAGCGUAUAUUAAAGUUGUUGCAGUUAAAAAGCUCGUAGUUGGAUCUGUGGUGUGCGGUGGGCUCCGGGCACUUGUUGUCUGAGUAGCUCGCCGCUGCCAUCCUUGGGUGGAACCUGUGUGGCAUUAGGUUGUCGGGCAGAGGAUCCUCAUCGUUUACUGUGAAAAAAUUAGAGUGUUCAAAGCAGGCUUAUGCCGUUGAAUAUAUUAGCAUGGAAUAAUAAGAUAGGACUUUGGUACUAUUUUGUUGGUUUGCGCACUAAAGUAAUGAUUAAUAGGGACAGUUGGGGGUAUUCGUAUUCCGUUGUCAGAGGUGAAAUUCUUGGAUUUACGGAAGACGAACUACUGCGAAAGCAUUUACCAAGGAUGUUUUCAUUAA